rnacentral:rRNA from 1 species
UACGUAGGGUGCGAGCGUUAAUCGGAAUUACUGGGCGUAAAGCGUGCGUAGACGGUAGCGUAAGUCAGAUGUGAAAGCCCCGGGCUCAACCUGGGAAUUGCAUUUGAGACUGCUCUGCUCGGGUGCGGAAGAGGGAAGCGGAAUUUCCGGUGUAGCGGUGAAAUGCGUAGAUAUCGGAAGGAACACCAGUGGCGAAAGCGGCUUCCUGGUCCGACACCGACGUUCAGGCACGAAAGCGUGGGGAGCAAACAGG